rnacentral:rRNA from 1 species
UACAGAGGUCUCAAGCGUUGUUCGGAUUCAUUGGGCGUAAAGGGCGCGUAGGCGGCCUGAUAAGUAGGGGGUGAAAUCCUGCGGCUUAACCGCAGGGCUGCCUUCUAAACUGUCAGGCUUGAGCACAGUAGAGGCAGGUGGAAUUCCCGGUGUAGCGGUGGAAUGCGUAGAGAUCGGGAAGAACAUCAGUGGCGAAGGCGGCCUGCUGGGCUGUUGCUGACGCUGAGGCGCGACAGCGUGGGGAGCAAACAGG